rnacentral:rRNA from 1 species
CCUACGGGUGGCAGCAGUGGGGAAUAUUGGGCAAUGGGCGCAAGCCUGACCCAGCAACGCCGCGUGAAGGAAGAAGGCUUUCGGGUUGUAAACUCCUUUUGUGAGAGAAGAUAAUGACGGUAUCUCACGAAUAAGCACCGGCUAACUCCGUGCCAGCAGCCGCGGUAAUACGGAGGGUGCAAGCGUUACUCGGAAUCACUGGGCGUAAAGAGUGCGCAGGCGGGCUUGUAAGUCAGAUGUGAAAUCCUGUAGCUUAACUACAGAACUGCAUUUGAAACUAUGAGUCUAGAGUGUGGGAGAGGUAGGUGGAAUUCUUGGUGUAGGGGUAAAAUCCGUAGAUAUCAAGAGGAAUACUCAUUGCGAAGGCGACCUACUGGAACAUUACUGACGCUCAUGCACGAAAGCGUGGGGAGCAAACAGGAUUAGAUACCCCUGUAGUC